CCUACGGGAGGCAGCAGUGGGGAAUAUUGGACAAUGGGGGGAACCCUGAUCCAGCGACGCCGCGUGAGGGAUGAAGGUACAGAGUAUCGUAAACCUCUUUUGUCAGGGAACAAAGGCGGGGACGUGUCCCCGGAUGAGUGUACCUGAAGAAAAAGCAUCGGCUAACUCCGUGCCAGCAGCCGCGGUAAUACGGAGGAUGCGAGCGUUAUCCGGAUUUAGUGGGUUAAAAGGGUGCGCAGGCGGUCUGUUAAGUCAGCGGUCAAAGCCCGGGGCUCAACCCCGGCCCGCCGUUGAAACUGGCAGUCUCGAGUUGGAGAGAGGUAUGCGGAAUGCGCGGUGUAGCGGUGAAAUGCAUAGAUAUCGCGCAGAACUCCGAUUGCGAAGGCAGCAUGCCGGCUCCACACUGACGCUGAGGCACGAAAGCGUGGGUAUCGAACAGGAUUAGAUACCCUUGUAGUC
rnacentral:rRNA from 1 species